UACGGAGGUGGCAAGCGUUGCUCGGAAUCACUGGGCGUAAAGGGCGCGUAGGCGGGGAGGUAAGUCGGGUGUGAAAUCCCUCGGCCCAACCGAGGAACUGCGCCCGGGACUGCUUCUCUUGAGUCCCGGAGAGGAAGAUGGAAUUCCCGGUGUAGCGGUGAAAUGUGUAGAGAUCGGGAGGAACACCGGUGGCGAAGGCGGUCUUCUGGACGGUGACUGACGCUGAGGCGCGAAAGCCAGGGGAGCAAACGGG
rnacentral:rRNA from 1 species